CACGUAGGGGGCUAGCGUUGUCCGGAAUCAUUGGGCGUAAAGCGCGUGUAGGCGGCCCGGUAAGUCCGCUGUGAAAGUCGGGGGCUCAACCCUCGGAUGCCGGUGGAUACUGUCGGGCUAGAGUGCGGAAGAGGCGAGUGGAAUUCCUGGUGUAGCGGUGAAAUGCGCAGAUAUCAGGAGGAACACCGGUGGCGAAGGCGCCACUCUGGGCCGGUACUGACGCUGAGGAGCGAAAGCGUGGGUAGCAAACAGG
rnacentral:rRNA from 1 species